CCUACGGGCGGCAGCAGUGAGGAAUAUUGGUCAAUGGGCGCGAGCCUGACCCAGCCACGCAGCGUGAAGGAUGACUGCCCUACGGGUUGUAAACUUCUUUUAUCAAGGAAUAAAAUGAGGCACGUGUGCCUUUUUGUAUGUACGUUAUGAAUAAGCAUCGGCUAACUCCGUGCCAGCAGCCGCGGUAAUACGGAGGCUCCGAGCGUUCUCCGGAUUUAUUGGGUUUAAAGGGAGCGUAGGUGGGUUGUUAAGUCAGUUGUGAAAGUUUGCGGCUCAACCGUAACAUUGCAUUUGAUACUGGCAGUCUUGAGGACAGUUGAGGUAGGCGGAAUUCGUGGUGUAGCGGUGAAAUGCUUAGAUAUCACGAAGAACUCCGAUUGCGAAGGCAGCUUACUAAACUGCCACUGACAUUGAUGCGCGAAAGUGUGGGUAUCAAACAGGAUUAGAUACCCGGGUAGUC
rnacentral:rRNA from 1 species